UGUGCUAUGGAGACGACCGUGAUGGCUGAAACCCUUGCCCGCGCUUAUCCAGAGUGGCCUGACCACCUGGAAAGUAACUCCCCAAAUCCCUUUUCCCCUCCUUCUUGCAGAAAUGCAAUAUAAACCUUCCUGCUUAUGUUGCAGCCGGCUGCACCCGAUGCUGGCAGGCGUAGAACCUUAGCAAUCAGCAGUGCCUAAAUUGUCCUGAGCUUUCCCUGCAUAAGGGACCUUGAGCCCCAAACAAACCCACAGGACCUCAGAGUGGGCUGCCUUUUGGCACCAUUGAUUUAAUUCAUGUGUGUGUACCACACCCACUCAGAUGAUGAGAAAUAUGUACAGUGUUUUUAUGUUUAGAUGUGUUGCAGCUAUAGAAUGGUGAAAGGGCGAAUCUUGAAGCCUGCCUUUGCUUUCACCAGUCAGGAUUUUGGAUUUCUCUUGAGCUUUGCCAAUUCCGCAGCAAGAAUGAAGCCCAUCAACCUGUCCUUCGCAGCCUGUGGGUUUCUUGGCAUUUACCACUUGGGGGCGGCAGCUGCCUUGUGUAGGCACGGCAAGGAACUCCUGAAGAAUGUCCAGGCUUUCGCAGGGGCCUCUGCAGGAUCCUUGGUUGCUUCUGUCCUGCUAACCGCACCAGGAAAAAUUGAGUUCCUCGGCAGCCAUGAAUCCAGCCACACUUCUGCCCGAUAAGGAUCCAUAAACCCCAAACCGUAAUUCUCCACCUUGAUUGACAUCUACCAGAGCCUUCGAUCCGACCUGACCCACAAACCUCUGGAAUGGGAAACAUCAUUCUUCUUAGAUGGUACCAGCGACAUGUACCAAGGCAAUGAUCCUGUGGGAAGAUGCAUUCUUGUGAGAGGAAGUAUUGACUACCAUGACAGAAAAUACUGUUUGUGACUACUGUAAGCUCCUGGGCAAAUAUCUUUCUCCCUACCAAAUUUUUGCUACCCUGCAAUCUGCACUAACCUAUUGCUCAUUUAAACACAAUUUCAGGCCUGCAGCCAAUGUCUCUCCUGGCUGGACAAUGGAAAUUUCAACUCCAUUGGGGAUGUCCCAAACUAUCUUGUAAUUCCUGUUUCUCCAAACUCUGCUACAGUGGUGACCCAAUGCCAUUAUGGAGAGACCUACUGCCUUUUCCUCACUUUCAGCUUUUACAAAGUUUUGAGUAACUAGGUGUUUGCCCAGCCUUACCAUUGUCAAGAGAAAGCACACUUCCCUUGGAGUUUCUCAGUGUUACUGCUACUUGGGUCCUCUGAAUUUCAAGCAGUGAGAAAAUGUUGCUGUCCCCUUCUCAUGGUUCUACAGGGCAAGGCAAGCCAACUUACACAGCAUGUGGUUUCAAGCAGGGUGAGGGAAGUAGAAAUUUACCUGAUGCCAUGUGUAGAUUGACAUCAAAAUGUAACAGAAAUUCCUACCAAAUUGAAGACAAAAGCUUUCCCUAGGAGAGAUAGACAUGAAAAUCUCAAGGUCCUGUCAGUUUUCUUCUAACUCCAUGGUCUCUUGAGGCAUUUUUGGCUUCUAACCUAUCAAGGGGAACACCAAUCUCCUCGGUAAGGCACAGCUGCCCUUGAAAAAUGUUGUAAUGUUCUUUCCUCUAUGAAAAAAAGAAAGCAGAAACUCAUAGCUGAUUCCAAUUAAGAGCACACAAUUUCUCAGGAGGCCAUUAUUAAAACUGUUCAAUUUGGUGCAGGUGGCCAAGAUGCCUUCAGCAGCCUACAGCGUAAUACUUUGUGACCCCCUUAGCCACUCAGCUCUCUUCUAUGUCCCCAUUAACUCAGGCCACUGCACUCAUUCCUCAUCCUGUCCAUCUAUCCCAGUGUCACUGAGCAUUUUUCAACUGGGGCAUAGUAAUCCCAUGACACACAUUAAGAAGCCAUGCCACACUCUUGACUUUGGACCUUGUAUCUCAGCCCAAGAGAAAUGGCGAUCCAUAGGGAAAGGUCGACAACACAAAAAGGUGCAUAUGACUAAACUUGAUGCUCACACACUGCUGAUGGUUCAGUUAUGUAAUUUCACAUGUCUUCUAAGUAUGUCUGAGCAUAGGCCAUUGGGAUAGCUUCAUUAGUCAUGGCACCAAAAUAUUGCAGACCUCAAAGAUAUGUCUGGGGAACUGAGAAGAAGGGGGAUUAGGAUGCCAUUUCUAAUGAUUUUUAUUCUAUAUGGAUACAUUUGAAUUUUGAGAAAAUCUGCUGAUCAUAGGCUCUUGGGAAUGUUACUGGGCUAUGUAGUGAGCCAGGACCUAAUGGCUACUGUGUGCAGUGUUCUGCUGGCAUAGUUGCAGACCUCCUCUAAAUUGCACUCUGCAAAAUGUGAACCACAAGAACCCAGGAAAGAUGAAGCAGGGACUUCCCAUAUUCAUGCAAUCCUGGGGUUCUCUAUCACUUAGGAACUUCUCCAGUGGUUGCUGGCUUUCAGUGCCAACUGAUACUACCAUGGAAGAAAUAGUCCAGGACAGACUGUGUGUAGGGCUUUCAGACUUACAAUCCAAGCCCUCAAAAACUAAGCGAAGCGCCAGUCUCUGUGGGAUUUCCAUUCUUCCUCAUGAAAGUUUUUCUCUCCAUUACUUUUAAAGAAAUCAGUGUACUGUGGGAGUCAAUAUUGGGCUGCCUAGACAUCAGGAAAGAACAAGAAAUUGUCCAAUAAUUUUCCUCCAUGUCACAAAAUACGUCAAGUUCUUUUGAUCAUGACAACUGAAAAGAAAUUUCGGACACAGCCUAAGGAGAAUAAGGAAAAUAUUGCAUGGAUUGAAUGGCUGUCACUGUGUGAGGUGGAAAGCUACAUAUUUGGGCCUCAAAUGUGGAUAUAAAUCAGGAGGUUUGUGGCUGCUUGACAACCAUGUGGGCAGCAAUUGGCUGACAGAUUUCUGAGUGAGACUCCAGUUUCUAGGAUACAUGUUUGCAGGAGGAUACCUGAGUUAGAAAGCUGGCCAUUAAGAUGGAGACCUGAGUUGAACAAGAAACUUGCAAGGUAAGAUUUGAAAAGUGUGGAUUUUCUUUGUCCUCAUAUCCAACAAGAUUUUCUCUGAAGGCUUCAUUGCUGAAAGUUUGUAGAUGGAAAUGCCUGCCAAUAUGCUCAUGGAUAGAGUGCCAAUGGGACAUGAGGUAUCCCAGGACCUUGCAAGGGAUCUCUCCAAUGACCUUCACUUGGGGAUCUGUUUUUCACAUCAGAUGUCUAUCAUUUGCCUUAUGCUCUUCCAAAACCUCUUAGUGAAGCCUUGUUGGUCUCGUGACUAUGCAGUAGAAGAACUGGCUAUGAAAUUUCUCAGCAGCAAAACUGAUGCAAGCAAAUGGUAUUUGAAAUUAGAGACUGAGGCUGAAGCUGAAUUUCAAAGGGCAGCCAUCGGACAAUAAAAUUACCCUACAGAAUGUUUUCACCAUGUUUAACAGGUGAACAUGUGUGUGAUUAUGCAGGAGGUUGGAUAUAAGCACUCAGAACAGAACUAAUGAACAUGGAAGAGAAGAAAGACAAAGGAAAGUACAUAGGAAAUAGGGACAACCAGUUAUUCUGAUGUAAAACACUUUGAGGAUGAAAGGGAAAAUGAACAUUCAUGAUGGUUUGUUCAGGGUAGUUAAGUGAAAUUCUCAUGUUUGUUUUCACAUGUGUCAUCUCCAGCCUUGGCCAGUGGAGCACAAGGCAGGAGACCAUCAACUCUAUUGGAAAAUAUAAUAGCACAGAAUAAAACCACACAAAACUAGUGUAUCCAAAUCCUUAGACAGCACUUUUGUGGUUUGUACUGGUAUCAAAGCUUAGAGCAUUUCAAUUGUGUCAUGUUUCCAAAAAUCAGAAGGUUACUUGACAUGUUUUUGGAAUUUUGUUUUUAUAGUCUCUGAGAUAGAGGUUCUGGGGAUGGCAGAGCUCUGAAUCAAAAUGUUUGCUUGAUACUAAUAAUAGUUGUUUUUGGAAAACUCUGAAUACUUUUGGUAUCCACGUUUUGGACUUUGUUGGUUGGUUUGUUUUUCUAAUUGCUUCUGGUUUUUCAACUUUAACUUUGUGAGACAGAGAAGUCCACAUUCCCAUUUAUGGGGGUAUUCUCCUACAGCUCCAAAGGAAUCAAUCAAGUUGACAUAAUAUAUGAUAAUAGUUUUUCUCACAUUAAAACCUGAAAUACAUCUAGAUGUUUAUCUUUUCAAUAUGAGUGCGGUGUGGAACUAAACACCUUUUAAUCUAACCUAUGGAAUGCUUUAUCUUUUAGCAUUCCAUUGAGUGAUCCUGUGGGAAACUGCUUCCUUUUGGAGAAGUUUUGACCACCUUGACUCCAAAUACUGUUUGUGACUACUCUGAGAUCCUGGGCAAUUAUGUUUUGCGUAAAAAAAUUUCAAUUCCCUGUGAUCUGUGCUAUACUGUUCCUCAUUUAAUCACAUCUCCAGGCCUGCAGCCAAUGUCUCUCUGGGCUGGACAAUACAAAUUUCAGCUCCAAUGGAGGUGUUCAGUCCCCCUUUUAAUUACUGUUUCUUCAAAUCUCUGCUUCAUAGGUGACCCAAUUCCAUUAUGGAGAGACCCAUUGGCUUUUGCUCACUUUCAGCUUUUCCAAGUUUUUGAGUAAGUAGGGUAUUUCCCAGCUUUGCUUUUGGCAAGAGACAGCAAACUUCCCUUGGAGUUUCUCAGUGUUAUUCCAACAUGGGUCCUUUGAAGUUCAAGCAGUGAUAAAAUUUUGCUGUCCCAUUCUGAGUAUACUACAGGGUAAGGCAAGCCAAUUAACAAAGGGUGUUGUUUUCAAGCAGGGUGAGUAAAGUUGAGAUUUCCCUAAUGCCAUGUGCAAAAUGAUGUCACAAAUUAACAUAAAUUCCUACCAAAUAGUAGAGAAAUGCUUUCCCAAAGAGAGAUAAAGAUGAAAAAUCUCAAGGUCAUGUCAUUUCCCUUCAAACACCAUGGGCUCUUGAAGAAGUUUUGGCUUCUAACCUGUCAAGGGGACCACCUAUCUCUUAUAUAUAAGACACUUCUGUCACUGAACAGACUGGUAAAGUUCUCUCAUUCAUGAGAAAAGGAAAGCAAAAAUGCACAAUGUUGUCCAAUUGAUAGCACACAAUUGUCCCAGCAGGCCACUUAUAAAACUGUUCCAGUGGGUGUGGGUACAGAUGAUGCAUUCUACAGGACAGAGCCUGAAGAUGUGCAUUCCACAUUACCACUCUGUUCCCUUCUUUGUCCACAUUUCCUCAGUUCCCUGCACUUACUUGUCAUUAUGUCCAUAUGACCCAGUGUACUUGGACCUGGGGCAUAGUCAUCCCAUGACACAACAGAGGAAGACAAACCACACCCUUGCCUCUGGUCCUUGUAGAAAGCCUGAUGAUCAUGUGUCCUCUGGGAUGUUGCUUGCUUAUGUAUAGAGCCAGGUCCUCAUGGCCAGUGUGUGCAGUAUUCUGCUGGCAUAGCUUCAGGCACCUCCUAGUUUGACUCUGGAAAUACGAGCCACAUGAAACCAAAAAGAUGAAACAGGAAAUCGAAAUGUUCAUGCAGUGCCUCAGUUCUCCUUCCUUUAGAGACUUCUCCAGUGGUUGCUUGUUUUCAGGGCAAACUGAUACUACCAUAGAGGCAAUAGUCCAGAAUAGGCAAUGUGUAAGAGUUUGAGGCUUACAGACCACGCCCUCGAUAACCAAGGCAAAGCCCAGUCACUGUGGGAUUUCCAUUCUCCCUCAUGAAAGUUUUGUUCUCCAUCAUUUUGAAAGCUAUCAGUGCACUGUGAGAAUCAAGUUUGGGCCUCUUAGACAUCAGGAGUGAAUAAGAAAGACUCUAAUAAUUUUCCUCCACUUCACAAAAAAUCUCAAGUUCUUUUGAUCAGAACAAAUACAAAGAAAUUUCAACACAAACUGGGUAGGUUAAGGAAAAUUUUGCAUGAAUGGUAUGGCUGUGGCAGUGUGAGGGGGAAAGGUUCAAAUUUUGGUCCAAGCUGUGGACACAAAUCAGAAGGCUUGUGGUUAUUAGGCAACCACUCUGCCAUGAUUGGCUGAGCAACACUGUGAGCUAGAUACCAGGUUCUAGGAUACAAGUUAGCAGGAGACGUGAGUCAGAAUGCUGAGCCAUGCCAAAGAGAUCUUAAUUGCCCAGAAGUACUAGCAGGACAAGAUUUCAAAAGGGUGGAUUUCCUCAGGCCAGCUAUCCAACAGGAUUUUCUCUGAAAGUUUCACAGCUGAAAGUUUGCAGUAGGAAAUACCUGCAAAUCUGCCAAUGUACACAGUGGCAGUGGGACAUGAAAUAUUACAGAACCUGGCAGGGAAUCUCUGCAAUGACCUUCCCUUGUUUUCCACUUCAGAUGCCUAUCAUGUGGCUGAGUCCUCUUUCAUAACCUCUUCCAUGUAGCCUUGUUGGCCUCAUGACCAUGCAGUAGAAGAAAUGGCUGCAAAAUUUCUCAGAUGCAAAUUCUCAGCAAGCAAAUUGUAUUCGAAAUCAGAGAGUGUGGAUUAAGCUGAUUUUCAAGGGAAGCCAUCCGAAAACAAUGAAACUACCCUUGAUCAUGUUUUCUGCAUGAUUAACAGGUGAAUAUAUAGGAGGUUGAAUAUCAGUACAAGAAAAGAACAAAUCAACAUGAAGAGAGGAAAGACCAAGGAAAGAACAAAGGAUACAAGGAGAGUGAGUCAAUCUGAUGUAAAAAUCUUUGAGCAUGAAAGGCAAAUGAAAAUUUCAUGAUAUGAUCAGUGUAUUGAAGUGAAAUUCUCAUGUUUGUUUUCACAUGUGUAGUCUCCUGCCGUAUCCAGUUGAGCACAAGGGAGGAGAUCAUCAAAUAGCCCUAAUGGAAGACACAAUAGCACAUGAUAUAUCCACCACAAAACUAGUGCACCCAAAUCCUUAGAAAGCACUUUUGGUGAGUGUACAAGUUAUCAAGCCUAGAGCAUAUCUAUUCUGUCAUGGUUCCACAAAUCAUAAUGUUACUUGACAGAUUCUUUGGAAUAUUGUUUUGACUGUCCCUGAGAUAAAGGUUCUGGGGAUGGCAGAGUUCAGAAUAAAAAUCUUUUCUAGAUAUUAUGCCAGAUGAUUUAAACAGCAGCUAAACAUUUUGGUUUUCCUUUUGGAGUUUAUUGGUGGGUUUGCUUUUCUAAUUGCUUGUGAUUUUCUAACUUUAACUUAAUGAGACAGCCAAGUCCACAGUGACAUUUUGGGGGGGUAUUCUCCUACAGCUCUGAAGAAACAAAUCAAGGUGUAUAAUACAUGAUAAUAAUUUUCUCCCAUUAAAUCCAGAAAAGCUGCCAGAUGUUGACAUUUUUUAACUGAGCAUGGUGUUGAGCUAAACAACUUUAUUAAAAAUUUUAUUUAAAAGGAAAAAGAGAAAAAAACAAAACAAAACAAAGCAGUGUAAGGGUGCAAGUAAUACAGAACUACAAAAAAAGUAAGAAAUCACCAGUUAACAGAUUACACAUUAUCAUCUUAGAGAUAUUUGCUCAAGUCACAGUAUCAAAGCAUUCAAAGUGGACAUUCAAACAGAGAGACUGCAAACAGUUGUGUUCAAUGAUCCAACCAAAAACAUUAAUAUGGUCGAGCUAAACCACUUUUUAAUGAAACAUUUGGAAUGUUUUAUCUUUUAUUUUUCCAGUCAAUGAACCUGCAGGAAGUUGCUUUUUUAUGAAGGGAAGUUUUGACCACCUUGACACCAAAUCCUGUUUGUGACAACUCUGAGAUUCUGGGCAAAUAUCUUUCUCCCUACAAAAUUGUUGGUUCCCUGUGAUCUGUGCUAACCUGUUGCUCAUUUAAUCACAUCUUCAGUCCUGCAGCCAAUGUUUUUCUGGGCUGGACAAUGUAAUUUCAAUUCCAUUGGAGGUAUUCAAUCCUCCAUUGUAAUUCCUUUUUCUCCAAAACUCUGCUUCAGAGAUGAAUCAAUUACAAUAUGUAGAGACCCAUUGCCUUUUUCUCACUUUUAGAUGUUCCAAGGUUUUGAGUAACAAGGGGUUUGUCCAGACUUGCUGUUGUCAAGAGACAUAUUUCCCUUGGUGUUUCUCAGUGUUACUCCAAUGCGGAUGCUCUGAAUAUAGAGCAGUGUGUAAAUAUUGCUGUCUGUCCCCUUCUCAGUUUUCUACUGAGGAAAGUAAGUGAACUGACACAGGCUGUGGUUUCAAGCACGGUGAGAAGAAGACAAUAGAGAUUUCCCUGAUGCCCUGUGCAGGUUUACCUCACAAAGUAACAGAAAUUCCUACCAAAUAGUACAGAAAAUCUUUCCCAAAGAGUGAUGGACAUGAAACAUCACAACGUUGAGUUAGUUUGCUUCAAACUCCUUGGGCUCUUAAGCAAUUUUUGGCUUCCCAACUAUCAAGGGGACAACCUAUCUCUUAGGUAAGACACUCCUGCCACUGAAAAAUGUUGCAAUAUUAUCUCCUCCAUGAGAAAAGGAAAACAGAAAUGCACAGCUGAGUCCCACUCAGUGCAAGCAAUCGCCCAGCAGGGCACUGUCAAAUCUGUUCAAGUUGGUGCAGAGGCAAUUGCUGCAUUCUGUGCCCUAGAGCCUGAUACUUUGUGCCCCCAUGGCCACUCAGCUCCCUUCUUUGUUCAGAUUAACUCAGGCCACUGUACUCAUUCCUCAUUCUGUCCAUAUGACCCAGAGUCCUUGGACAUUUUUCACUUGGGGCAUACUCAACCCAUGACACACCCUAGGAUGCCAAACCACACCCUUGGCUCUGGGCCUUGUAUUUCAUCCCAUGAAAAUGGAGAGUUCUGGGCAAGGCCGGCCAAGAUAAAACUGGGGCAUGUAACCAUGCUGAUGCACACACACUACUAAGUGAUUAAUUGUUUCAUUUGACUUGUCUUAUAAGAAUAUCUAGACAUCAGCUAUCGGGAUUUCUUCAUGAGUUGUGGAGACAAAAUACUGCAUUCCUCCAAGACAUAUCUGGGUCAUUUUGAGGAAAGGGGAUUUGGAUCCCAUUUUGAAGGAUUGCUCUUCCACCAGGAUACAUUUGAAGUUUGAGAAAACUUGGUGAUUAUGGGCUCUCUGGGAUGUUUCUUGCUUAUGUAUUGAGCCAGGUCCUCAUGUCCAGUGUGUGCAGUAUUCUGCUGGCAUAGCUUCAGACCUCUUAUGAACUGAGCUCUACUUAAUGUGACCCAGAAGAAAUCAGGAAUGAUGAAGCAGGGACUCCAAAUAUUCAUGAAAUUCUUGUGUUACCCUUUGCUUAUGGACUUCUCCAGUGCUUGCCAGCUUUUAGGGCCAACUAAUAAUUCCAUGGAGGCAAUACUCCACAACAGACUGUGUGUAGAGCUUUAAGAAUUACAUUCCAAUCCCUCAAAAACUGAGCCAAAUUGAAGUCACUGUGGGAUUCCCAUUCUCCUCAUGAAAGUUUUAAGCUCCUUGAGUUUGAAAGAAAUCAAUAGAAUGUGGGAGUCAACUUUGGGCCCCUUUGACAUCAGGGCAGAGCAAGAAAGUCUCCAAUAAUUUUCCACCACUUCACAAAAUAGGUCAAGUUCUUUUGAUCUGGAAAGAAAUUUUGGACCCAAACCAGGAAGAUAUAGGAAAAUAUUGCAUGGGAAGAAAGGCUGUGAUUGUGUGAGGAGGAAAGCUUCAAAUUUGGGUCAAAGCUAUGGACACAAAUCAGUAGGCUCAUGGUUGCAUGGCAAGCACACUGGGUGAUGAUUGACUGAACAACACUGUAAGCUAGACCCCUGGAUUUAUGAUACAUGUUUGCAGGAGACCUCCAUCAGAAUGCUGGGCUUUGCCUUGAAGAUCUUAAUUGCACAGAGGAACCUGCAACCCACGAUUUCAAAAUCAUGGAUUUACCCAGCCCUGGCAUCCAACAGGAUUUUCUCUGAAGGCUUCAUAGCUGAAAGUUUUCUGAUAGAAAGUCCUGCAAUGCCAUAGCUCAGAAUAAAAAUCUUUCCUGGAUAUUUGUACCAGGUGUGUUUAGAAAAGAGUGAAACCUUCUGGUUUUCCAUUGUGGACUCUGAUUGUUGGUUUAUUUUUCUAAUUGCUUCUGGUGUUCUAACUUUAACUUUGUAAACUGACAAAUCCACACUCCCAUUUUUAGGGGAAUUCUCCUACAGGUCUGAAGGAAUCAAUCAAGGUGAUAUAAUACAUGAUAAUAGUUUUUCUCACAUUAAAACCUGAAAGUCUGCCAGAUGUUGACACUUUUAAUCAGAGCACAGUGUGGAGCUAAACACUGUUUUAUCAAACUUUUGGAAUGUUUUAUCUUGUAUAUUUACAGUCGAUAAUCCUGAAGGAAGGUGCUUUCUUAUGAGCGAGAGUUUUGACCACCUUGAUACUAAAUACUGUUUUUGACUACUCUGAGCUCCUCGGGAAAUAUCUUUCUCCCUACAAAGUUUUUUGUUCCCUGUGAUCUGUGCAAACCUGCUGCUCAUUCAAUACCUUAUUUAGGUCUGCAGUCAAUGUCUUUCUGGGCUGGACAAUCAAAUUUCAACUUCAUUUUUAGGAGUAUAAUACUCCCUUUUAUUUGAUGUUCCAAGGCCACCCUAUUCCACUGUGGGGAGGACAAUUGUCUUUUCCUCACUUUCAGCUUUUCUAAGGUUCUGUAACCUGGGGUUUGACCAGCUUGGCUGUGGUCCAGAGAGCACAAUUCCCUUGAAGUUUCACAGUGUUACUCUAACGUGGGCCUUCUGGAAUUCAAGCAGUGAGAAAAUGUUGCCUUCCCAUUCUCCGUUUUCCACUGGGUUAAGUAGGCAAACUGACCCAUGGUGAGUUUUCCAUCAGGGUGAGGAAAGGAGAAUUUCUCUAAUGCUAUGUGCAGGUUGACUUCAAGGUAAGAGAAAUUCCUAUUAACUAGUAGAGAAUAGGUCUACCAAAGAGAGAUGGACAUGAAAAAUCUCAAGGUUGUGUCAGUUUUCUUCAAACUCCAUGGGCUUUUAAGGAAAUCUUGGCUUUUAACCUAUUAUGUGGAUCAUCGAUAUCCUAGGUAAGACACUCCAGCCACUGAAAACUGUUGUAAUGUUCUCUCACCCAUGAGAAUAGGAAAGCAGAAACACACAGAAGAGUCAAAUUUAGAGCACACAAUAACCCAGCUUUCCAAUGUCAAAACUGUUAAAAUAUUGCCAGGUCAGAAGACCCAGGCUGCAGCCUAGGGCCUGAUGUGUUGUGUCCCCCGUAAGCAGUCAGCUCCCAUCUAUGUCCCCAAUUAACUGAGGCCCCUGAAAUCAUUCCUCAUCCUGUCCACAUGAUCCAGUUUCAUUGAACCUUGUUCAUCUGGGGCUUAGUCAUCCCAUGACACACCCUAGGAUGGGCAGGCACACCUUUGCGUCUGGUCCUUGCAUCCCAUAUCAAGAGAAAUGGUGUGCCCUGGCAAGGGGAGUGAAGACAAAAAGAGCAUAUGCCUAAAGCCUGAUGCACACAUUCUCCUGAUGGAUCAUUGUGUCAUUUGUCAGGUUUUCUAAGAAUAUCCCAGCAUAGGCCUUUGUGAUCCCUUCAUGAGUUGUGGAUACAAAUUAUUUCAUACCUCCAAGACAUGUAUGGGGCACUGAGAGGAAGUGGGAUUUGGAUUCAAUUUCUAAGGUUUUCUCUUCCACCUGAAUACAUUUGAAGUUUGAGAAAACCUGCUGAUCUCUGCCUCUCUAGGAUGUUGCUGGCUUAUGUAUUGAACCAGUCUUAUGCUGGCUGAGCUGCAGACCUCCUCUAAUGGGCUCAGAGAAAUGUGAACCAUAUUAAAGAUGGAAAGAUGAAGCAGGCACUCCAAACAUUCAUGCUGUGCAGGGGUUGUUCUUCACUUAGUGACUUCUCCAGUGGUUUCUGAGUUUCAGGGCCAGCUGAUACUUCUAUGGAGGCAAUGUUCCAUGCUGACUGUGCAUAGGGUUGCAGGCUUACAGUUCAAGCCCUCAAAAACUGAGCCAAAGCCUUGUCCUAGUGGCAUUUCCUUCAAUCCUUUUGAGAAAUAUGCUCUCAAUAAUUCUGAAAAAAUCAACAGACUGUGGGAGUUCAGAUUGGGCCCCUUAGAUGCCCGGAAAGAGUAAGAAAUACUCUAAUAAUUUUCCUCCAGAUGGCAAAGUGUGUCAAGUUCUUUUGAUCAUGAACCUGGAGAGAAAAUUUGAAACAAUGUAGGGAAUAUAAGGAAAAUACUACACCUUUGCAAUAUUUGUGUGGGAUGGAAUGCUGCAGAGUUGGGUCGCAUCUGUGGACACCAAUUUCUAGGUUUGUGGUUGCCAGGAAACCACACUAGGCAGUGAUUGGCUGAGGAGCACUAUGAGCUAGACCCCAGGUUCUAAGAUCCUUGUUUGCAGUACAGGACCUGAGACAGAAUGCUGAGCAUGGCCAUGGAGAUCUUAGUUGCACACAAAACCAUGCAGGGCAAGAUUUGAAAAGGGUGGAUUUUUCAGAGGUCUGGUAUCCAAUAUUUUUUUCUCUGAAGGUUUCAUUCCUCAAUGUUUGUGGAUGGAAAUGCCUGCAAAUCUUCCCAUGGUUACAGUGCCAAUGGGACACGAGAUAUUCCGGACCUGGCAGGGGAUCUCUUCUAUGAUCUUCCGUUGAGGAUUUGUUUUCUACUUGAGAUGUCUGGCCAUUUGCGGAGUCCUAACCUCUUGAUUAAAGCCUUGCUGGCCUCAUUCUCUCACAGUAGAAAAACUGGCCAUGAAAUUUUUCAGAAUCACACCCUCUUCAAGCGCAUGGGAUUUGAAAUCAGAGACUGAGGCUAAAAUUUAACUUCAAGGGCAGAUAUCCUAAAACAAUGAAUCUAUCCCUGAGCAUGUUUUCAGCAAGUUUCAUAGGUGAAUAAGUGUGGGAAUAUGCAGGAAGUUGGAUGCCAAGACUGAGAACAGAACUAAAACACAUGGAAGAGAACAUAGAUGAAGGAAAAAACACAGGAAUGAGGGAGAGCCAGUCAAUCUGAGGUUAAAAACUUUGAGAAUAAAAGAAAUUAAAAUGUCAUGAUAAUUUGAUCAGGGUACUGAAGGGAAAUUGUCAUGUUUGUUGUCACAUGUGUAGACUUCUGCCUCGGUCAGUGUAGCACAAGGCAGGAUUUCAUCAAGUAACCCUAUUGGAAGACAGAAAUAGCACAGAAUAUAACAAUCCAAAAACCUGUGCAUCCAUUUCCUUAGACAGCACUUUUGGGGACUGAACUUUGUAUCAAGCCUAGAGCAUUUCCUUUGUCUUGGACCAAAGAAUCUGAAAGCUUUUUUACAUGUUCUUUGGAAUAUGGGUUGACAGCUUUUGAGAUACAGGUUCUGGGAAUGGCAGGGCUUAGAAUAAAAAUCUUUCAUAGAUAUUAAUUCCAUUGUUGGUUAGAAAAGCAUUGAAACACUUUGAUUUUCACUUUUUGGACUUUGUUGGUUGGUUGAUUUUGCUAAUUUCUUUUGCUUUUCUACCUUUAACUUCAUGAGACAUGCAAAUCCAAACUCCCAUUUUUGGGUUACUUCUCCUACAGCUUUCAAGGAAUCAAUCAAGGUGAUGUAAUAUAUGAUAAUUGAUUUUCUCCUAAUAAAAGCUGAAAGCCUUCCA